GCCAAGCCAGUCAUUCAUUCAUUCAUCACAUAAUUGUUGAGUUACCCUGGGUGGGAGAAUGUGUCAGGUACCAUCCUACGGUUGAGACCUUGGGCAAGUGACAGUUGCUGCACCUCCCUCCCCACCUGUAAAAUCGGGCACUACAGGGUCACUCAGGAGGUCUUACAAGGAGUCUACCUGGUGAGAUCAACUUUGGCAUGGAAGUGGCACACAAAACCAAGUUCCCUGCUUUGAGGAACCUGAGCAGCUGUGGAGAGGCCUUUGUGGAGAGGAACCAGGCCUGGACUCCCAGUGCUGAGUGAGCUUUCAGCCAGCCGCCGUCCUCACUUGUUAACCGCAUACGUCCAUCCUGCUGCCUCCCCUUGGCCAGCACCCCAGGAUGCCACUGUCCUUCCAAAUCUCUGGACCAAGCACAGUUAAGAAACCUGAAAGAUCAUACCAGAGAGCAUUAAUAGACUCUAGGAGAAGAUAGCAGAAAUACAGCGACUAGAAUAACCAUAAAACCAACUAGACUUCCUUAGGAAAGGUUGUCCAUCCUACAUCAGGCUCCCUCCAAAGCUUCCCAGGUCCUGCCCAUCUUGUAUGUUUUACUGAGAUCUCAUCGAUGAGGAAUCUACAUUUUUAAAUCUCAAGAGAAAGAAACUCAGAACUACUAAGAAUAAUUCUUGAUUGACUUGGAAUGAGUUUUGGAAUCUGUAUUUUUAACCAGCUACCCAGUGAAAACCAUUUCCUCCUCCCCAUGGACUUGAUCCAGAGGCUGUGCCCAUCUCUCCCACGUCAACAGUCCUGUGUCCUUGGCAGAGGACAAAGCACUCUCAUUCUGGGCCUUUCCCUUCCUCCUCAGCCAACCCCCUGCUUCGGCAGCUAAUAAAAAGGCUAAGUUCCCUGAUGCAGGGAAAGCCCCACCUGCAGAUUGGAAAUCUGCUAGGCCACACUGUCCUAAUCUACAGCUGUCCUUGCCUCUUCCCUUCGGAUUUUCCCAGAGCAGGGAGUUCUGUCCCAGACCUCGGGUGUCCCUGUGCCGAGGUGGAAUCCAGACACCACACCUUCCAAAGCCAAACAGAUCUGAGCCAAACAGGAAUGCACGAGCUGGGUGCAGUUGAAGGCAUUUGGUGGCUCAGUAGGCAGGAUUUGGGGGAGCACUGUGCUGAGUGGAGGUGGGUAGGUAUAUUUAUUUGGCUCACAGAGUCCCCUGUCUAGUGGGAUCAGCUCCUCCCAUCAGUAGCCACCUGGCCCAGCUUUGGGAGAUGUGGACAAUGGAUUUCACAGUGAUUUCCACUGGGCCAUGGCACUGAAACAGCUGCAGGAGAGGGCAUAGCUGUGUUUUCCCCACCCUUACCAAAGAAUUGCUCUGGAGGAAGGCCACCCUCCCCAAGGGCCUACUUGCUAUGGUUCUAGUGGCCCUGGGGCAGUACCUCUAAGCUAAAUUUGACCUUUAUUAAAAUGAAAUCCCAUCAUCACUUAUUCAGUGACUCCCAAGCCUGGUUAAAUGUCAGAAUAACCCGGAAUGUGAGUUGAGAAAUAAAGAUUGAUAAAAAGAACAG